rnacentral:rRNA from 1 species
UACGUAGGAUGCAAGCGUUGUCCGGAUUUACUGGGCGUAAAGCGCGCGCAGGCGGCACUCUAAGUACGCUGUGAAAUAUCCCGGCUCAACCGGGAGGGUGCAGUGUAGACUAGGGAGCUAGAGGUCGGUAGAGGGGGGUGGAAUUGCUGGUGUAGCGGUGAAAUGCGUAGAUAUAGGAAGGAACACCAGUGGCGAAGGCGACCACCUGGACUGAUACUGACACUGAGGUGCGAAAGCGUUGGGAGCAAACAGG